rnacentral:rRNA from 1 species
ACGCCUACGGGAGGCAGCAGUGGGGAAUAUUGCACAAUGGACGAAAGUCUGAUGCAGCAACGCCGCGUGGGGGAUGACACAUUUCGGUGCGUAAACUCCUUUUAUAUAAGAAGAUAAUGACGGUAUUAUAUGAAUAAGCACCGGCUAACUCCGUGCCAGCAGCCGCGGUAAUAC